ensembl:lncRNA
CUCAGUCUGCGUCUCUGUGUUUAUUCUACCCUGAUGGGAUAGAGACUCCUCCAUACAGUCACCCAUCAUGUCAGAUCUCCCUCACUGGUGUUCAGCUCCUGCAGUGGACACGGCAGAGUUCCCCUCAAGAGGCUAAAGUGGGGUGUUAUUAUACAGUAACAUCACCAGGGCAGCAGAUCCAACAAUCUGCUCACUCUGACCUUGUUUCAGUGACUGUUCUAGACAGAUUGCAGAAGCCACACAUAACGGUCCUUCACGAUGGCUCCACCUCCAUUGUCUGUGACAUACCCAAGCAUUUUGGUGAUGCUCUCAGCUGCCGACUUUAUACUGGAGAUGAACCUCAUUUUUAUCUCCAAUCGAAGACAUCAAAGAGUGCAUCUGGAGACCUUUCCUGCCAGUUUACAGUGAAUAAGGAUGAUUUAUUCAGACGUCUGCAGUCAGUGAGGAGCAGAGGGGUGAGCUGUGAUUAUACAGUGAACACAGAACAUCCAUCUCUCUCUCCACGCAGUGACCCAUACACCUUUACAGAAUUUAGCCUUGUCACAACAACAACGCGUCUGUCAUCAUCACAGCCAGGGUUAAGCCUUGUAACAACAACAACAACACCAGCAACAACAUCAACAACAGCAACAACAGCAACAACAGCAGCGACAGCAGCAUCAACAGCAACAACAACAACAACAACAGCAACAGCAACAACAACAGCAAUAGCAACAGCAUCAACAACAACAUAUCUAUCAUCCUCAGGGCCAACCAUAGCAGCACUUACCCAUGGAAAGUCCUCAAGUCCUCCACACCAACACCAUACCGCCCUACUUGCCACCAUACUGGUGGUGGCGUCUGGAGGGGGCCUCUUCCUGGUGGUCCUCACUGCCUCAUGUCUCUGCUUCAGUAAGUUGAUCACUUAUUUACCACCUGGAGGACUCACGUCAGGGGCUUUUUAUUAAGAGUUACUGAAACUGCCUUCCUCCAGAGUGUGUAGUUA